CGUGUAGGCGGUCGAUCAAGUCCGAUGUGAAAGCCCGGGGCUCAGCCCCGGAAGUGCAUCGGAAACUAGCCGACUUGAGCGCGAUAGAGGAGGGUGGAAUUCCUGGUGUAGCGGUGAAAUGCGUAGAUAUCAGGAGGAACAUCGGCGGCGAAGGCGGCCCUCUGGCUCGUUGCUGACGCUGAGACGCGAAAGCGUGGGGAGCAAACAGGAUUAGAUACCCUGGUAGUCCACGCUGUAAACGAUGGGUACUAGGUGUUCGGGGUGUUGACCCCCUGAGUGCCGACGCUAACGCAUUAAGUACCCCGCCUGGGGACUACGGCCGCAAGGCUAAA
rnacentral:rRNA from 1 species